rnacentral:rRNA from 1 species
UAAGUUAAUAAGGGCGCACGGUGGAUGCCUUGGCACUAGGAGCCGACGAAGGACGUGACAAACGACGAUAUGCCUUGGGUAGCUGUAAGUAAGCGAUGAUCCAGGGAUUUCCGAAUGGGGGAACCCAACAGGUAAUACCUGUUACCUACAUCUGUUAAGGAUGUGAGGAGGAAGACGCAGUGAACUGAAACAUCUAAGUAGCUGCAGGAAGAGAAAGCAAAAGCGAUUGCCUUAGUAGCGGCGAGCGAAACGGCAGAAGGGCAAACCGAAGAGUUUACUCUUCGGGGUUGUAGGACUGCAAUGUGGACUCAAAGAUUAUAGAAGAAUGAUUUGGGAAGAUCAGCCAAAGAGAGUAAUAGCCUCGUAUUUAAAAUAGUCUUUGUACCUAGCAGUAUCCUGAGUACGGCGGGACACGUGAAAUCCCGUCGGAAUCUGGGAGGACCAUCUCCCAACCCUAAAUACUCCCUAGUGACCGAUAGUGAACCAGUACCGUGAGGGAAAGGUGAAAAGCACCCCGGGAGGGGAGUGAAAUAGAACCUGAAACCGUGUGCCUACAACAAGUUCGAGCCCGUUAAUGGGUGAGAGCGUGCCUUUUGUAGAAUGAACCGGCGAGUUACGUUAUGAUGCGAGGUUAAGUUGAAGAGACGGAGCCGUAGGGAAACCGAGUCUGAAUAGGGCGCCUUAGUAUCAAGACGUAGACCCGAAACCAUGUGACCUACCCAUGAGCAGGUUGAAGGUGCGGUAAGACGCACUGGAGGACCGAACCAGGGCACGUUGAAAAGUGCUUGGAUGACUUGUGGGUAGCGGAGAAAUUCCAAACGAACUUGGAGAUAGCUGGUUCUCUCCGAAAUAGCUUUAGGGCUAGCGUCGACAUUAGAGAUUCUUGGAGGUAGAGCACUGUUUGGGUGAGGGGUCCAUCCCGGAUUACCAAUCUCAGAUAAACUCCGAAUGCCAAUGAAUUAUGGUCGGCAGUCAGACUGCGAGUGCUAAGAUCCGUAGUCGAAAGGGAAACAGCCCAGACCACCAGCUAAGGUCCCAAAAUAAUUGUUAAGUGGAAAAGGAUGUGGGGUUGCACAGACAACUAGGAUGUUAGCUUAGAAGCAGCUAUUCAUUCAAAGAGUGCGUAAUAGCUCACUAAGUCGAGUGACCCUGCGCCGAAAAUGUACCGGGGCUAAAACAAUUUACCGAAGCUGUGGAUACCUUUAUAGGUAUGGUAGGAGAGCGUUCUAUGUGUGAUGAAGGUAUACCGUGAGGAGUGCUGGAACGCAUAGAAGUGAGAAUGCCGGUAUGAGUAGCGAAAGACAGGUGAGAAUCCUGUCCACCGUAAGACUAAGGUUUCCAGGGGAAGGCUCGUCCGCCCUGGGUUAGUCGGGACCUAAGGAGAGACCGAAAGGUGUAUCCGAUGGACAACAGGUUGAUAUUCCUGUACUAGAGUAUGUAGUGAUGGAGGGACGCAGUAGGCUAACUAAAGCAGACGAUUGGAAGAGUCUGUCUAAGCAGUGAGGUGUGAAUUGAGUCAAAUGCUUAAUUCUAUAACAUUGAGCUGUGAUGGGGAGCGAAGUUUAGUAGCGAAGUUAGUGACGUCACACUGCCAAGAAAAGCUUCUAGCGUUUAAACAUACUCUACCCGUACCGCAAACCGACACAGGUAGUCGAGGCGAGUAGCCUCAGGUGAGCGAGAGAACUCUCGUUAAGGAACUCGGCAAAAUGACCCCGUAACUUCGGGAGAAGGGGUGCUGACUUAAAGUCAGCCGCAGUGAAUAGGCCCAAGCAACUGUUUAUCAAAAACACAGCUCUCUGCUAAAUCGUAAGAUGAUGUAUAGGGGGUGACGCCUGCCCGGUGCUGGAAGGUUAAGAGGAGUGCUUAGCGUAAGCGAAGGUAUGAAUUGAAGCCCCAGUAAACGGCGGCCGUAACUAUAACGGUCCUAAGGUAGCGAAAUUCCUUGUCGGGUAAGUUCCGACCCGCACGAAAGGCGUAAUGAUUUGGGCACUGUCUCAACGAGAGACUCGGUGAAAUUUUAGUACCUGUGAAGAUGCAGGUUACCCGCGACAGGACGGAAAGACCCCAUGGAGCUUUACUGCAGUUUGAUAUUGAGUGUCUGUACCACAUGUACAGGAUAGGUAGGAGUCUAAGAAAUCGGGACGCCAGUUUCGAAGGAGACGCUGUUGGGAUACUACCCUUGUGUUAUGGCCACUCUAACCCAGAUAGGUGAUCCCUAUCGGAGACAGUGUCUGACGGGCAGUUUGACUGGGGCGGUCGCCUCCUAAAAGGUAACGGAGGCGCCCAAAGGUUCCCUCAGAAUGGUUGGAAAUCAUUCGCAGAGUGUAAAGGUAUAAGGGAGCUUGACUGCGAGAGCUACAACUCGAGCAGGGACGAAAGUCGGGCUUAGUGAUCCGGUGGUUCCGUAUGGAAGGGCCAUCGCUCAACGGAUAAAAGCUACCCUGGGGAUAACAGGCUUAUCUCCCCCAAGAGUUCACAUCGACGGGGAGGUUUGGCACCUCGAUGUCGGCUCGUCGCAUCCUGGGGCUGUAGUCGGUCCCAAGGGUUGGGCUGUUCGCCCAUUAAAGCGGCACGCGAGCUGGGUUCAGAACGUCGUGAGACAGUUCGGUCCCUAUCCGUCGCGGGCGUAGGAAAUUUGAGAGGAUCUGCUCCUAGUACGAGAGGACCAGAGUGGACUUACCGCUGGUGUACCAGUUGUCUUGCCAAAGGCAUCGCUGGGUAGCUAUGUAGGGAAGGGAUAAACGCUGAAAGCAUCUAAGUGUGAAACCCACCUCAAGAUGAGAUUUCCCAUGAUUAUAUAUCAGUAAGAGCCCUGAGAGAUGAUCAGGUAGAUAGGUUAGAAGUGGAAGUGUGGCGACACAUGUAGCGGACUAAUACUAAUAGCUCGAGGACUUAUCCA